UAUGGGGAUUAUACCGGGAAUGUCCCACCUGUUCCCAUUCCGAACACAGAAGUGAAAUUUUCCAAGGCCGAUGAUAGUGGUUUUACCGCAAAAGUAGGUCGUCCCCAUUU
rnacentral:rRNA from 1 species